CCUACGGGUGGCAGCAGUGAGGAAUAUUGGUCAAUGGACGAGAGUCUGAACCAGCCAAGUCGCGUGAAGGAUGACUGCCCUAUGGGUUGUAAACUUCUUUUAUAUGGGAAUAAAAUGUUCCACGUGUGGGAUUUUGUAUGUACCAUAUGAAUAAGGAUCGGCUAACUCCGUGCCAGCAGCCGCGGUAAUACGGAGGAUCCGAGCGUUAUCCGGAUUUAUUGGGUUUAAAGGGAGCGUAGGUGGAUUGUUAAGUCAGUUGUGAAAGUUUGCGGCUCAACCGUAAAAUUGCAGUUGAAACUGGCAGUCUUGAGUACAGGAGAGGUGAGCGGAAUUCGUGGUGUAGCGGUGAAAUGCUUAGAUAUCACGAAGAACUCCGAUUGCGAAGGCAGCUUACUGGACUGCAACUGACACUGAGGCUCGAAAGUGUGGGUAUCAAACAGGAUUAGAUACCCCAGUAGUC
rnacentral:rRNA from 1 species